AUCAUGUUCCUUUGUUGUUGCAGUAAACACACACACACACACACACACACACACACACACACACACACACACACACACACACACACACACGAUAACAAUACACACAAAUCUCUUUAUAAAUAGAACAAAAACAAAAUGUAGCGCUCAUUUUUCCCCUCGACACUUUUCCUGUAGUCCGAUGAAGGAGUAAUGAAGCAGCACGUGAUUUAUGCACCAAUUAGUAAGAUUUUUUCUUGGCGUUGGUGCGCGGCGCGGCCAGAUGACGGACAACUGUGUGGGCGGGAGAUGGAGGGCAAGGGAAGGGAGGGGAUGGGUGUGGUAAGGGGUAGGGGGAGAUGGGUACUGAGUGUUGGGGGUAAGGAGGGCAGUUACGGGGUGUGGUAGGGGUGAGAGGAGGCUGAUAGGAGUCUGGCGGGGGUGAGAGGAGGCAGGUACAGGGUGUGGCGGAGGGGAGGGGAGGCAGAUAAGGGAUGCGGCUAGGGGGACGGGAGGCAGGUACGUGGUGGGGCCGGGGGGGGGAAGAGGCAGGUACUCGAGUAAUCUGCUUUUCUUGCUCUUCUUCAGUCUCUUAAAUUAGAUCCACAGAUUUGUUCCCAGGAGCUGAGCGGCUAGACACACACACACACACACCCUGUUGCGCCCCCAGCUUGUCUUGCCGGAAACGAAACAGUGGAGUAUUAUUAUGUGUGUAUUGUAUAGCUACUCCUUUUUCCUUUUGUUUUUCGCUUAGCACCGUGUUGGUUUAUGGUGACCGUGAUUUGAUAUGGGAGAAAGGGACAGUGAAGUUAUUGUGUUGGCUUGUAUCGCUUAGCAGAAUUAGUGUGUUAAUGUAUACUAGCCGUGACUUGAAGGAAUAAAGAAGCAGUUGAGUCAUUGUUUAAGUUUGUGUCGUUUAUCAAGAUGUAGCAUUAAUUUAGCGUGUUCGCGACUUGAAGAAGGUGAGACAAAAAAAAAAGAGUUAUUGUAUAAAUUCAUAUCGCCAACUAAGGUAUAGCAUUAAUCUACAAUGCUCGCUACUUGAAGUUCCACUGUAAAAUUGUAUCACUCAACAAGUUAUGGUGAUGGUUUCAGGGUAAUUGCAACUUGAUGAGAGAAGGAAGCGCAGGUUAUUGGUAAAACUUGUAUCGCUCAGUAAGGUAUGAUGUUAAAGACUUAAUAGUGAGUGACCGCUAAUUGACUAGGGGGAAAGGAAUAGAAUAGCGUACAGAGUAACCGCCAAUAAAGCGUUAGUGUUUACUUCAUUAAGAAAGACACGCGUAAGUCCCAACGUUACCACAGAGGUCAUGAAAGUCACUGCAGUUCGUACAUUUUCAUAGUUCACGGUAAGGAGAGAUGCAGUGAUCCUUAUUGGCAAAGAAAACUCUUGAUUCAACCAGAGAUAAUGAGUAUGUUAAGUACUUUUUUUAUAAUUAGAGACAAACAGAAUAAUCGUUUAGGUCUAGUGAUCCGAAGCUAAGUAACGUGUUGUCAGUCUCACUCAUCCAUCUACAGCUGGUAGAUUCUCAUAAGAACAUAAGGAAUAAGGGAAGCUGCAAGAAGCGACCAGGCUUACACGUGGCAGUCCCUGUAUGAAAUAUACCUACCUCAGCACACCAGAGACUUCAGAUUUGAGGGAAAACACUAACCAUAUCUUGGAAGGGACUGAGGUUCAUUACUCAACUUCAAGUAAAUAAGAAACAGACCGAGCCGUAGCUAUCCACACUAACAAUACGUUUCCUUACAGGUGUUCACGGAGACGCAGAGGAUCGCGCGCCCCACGAGCUGAGAGGCAAGUCACUGCUGCCCGUGUUUCCAGGUACGGCGACGAAAAAAGAAGCUAACUCACUAUGAGAUGCAAAACAAUUCUUCACUUUUCAAAGCGCCAAUCAGAGUUGAGUGAAGGAGGAAGAAAAGAUGCUAGUUCCCCUUGACGUUCGUUUGAAGUUAUUUGAAAUGGAAAAUAUUAUCGUUAGCUGCGUGGCUGGCUGAGGCGUGGAGGGUUUGGUCUAUUUUUAUUUCUCCUCCUCCUCCUCCUCCUCCUCCUCCUCCUACUCCUCUUUCGCGUGUUCCAGAGGAGUCCAGAAAUACAGUAAGAAAUCCUUUGCACUAAUAACACACAAGGUUAUUUUCAAGACAAAAAAAAAAAAGGACUUGGAUUCUUUUGUCUGUGUGUGCGUGUUUUAUAUGAAUGAAUAUAUUUGCAGAAGCCCACCCACUGCCUGAAGAAAUUAAGUGGCCACCAGCGUUGUUCCCAGAUAAAUGAAAAUGAGAGAGAACGAAACAAAAAAAAACAUAUCCAUUUUCAUAACUUUGCAUAGCCGCGAGUUUGGUGUGUAAAGUUAAGGUGGAGGGAGAGAAAAGUUGGGAAUGUUUCAAAGGGAAAAGUUCAUUAUCUCGCCGCCGGAACAGGCAGCAAGCGUCAGAUAAAUCAAGAAAGAAACAAAAGUCGCCGGCAUUGGUUGAAACAUUUCUCGUCAGAUAGAAUAUGUAUAUAAAUAAAGUCGUUGGCUCGGAUUUGAUGGAUCGAAACAGUCUCCAGCUUUUCCGAACGAACGCCGAUGGUCCGCAACAAAACCCAAUAACUUUUCUCAUUAUAUUUGCAAAUCUCAAUUCCGAUAUUAUUGAAUAAUGCUUCCAGUGGUGGCCGUCGCCCGCUCCCACCCUAGCCGCCUCCCCUGCGCUACGGCAUUAGGGAUCCAUCACUUUCUUGCCGCGUUUUUAACUUAGCCUGUCAUUUUAUCAGUAUAUAAAAUUCAAAUUCAUUUUUUUAUCUUUUUUUUUUUACUCAAAGAAAAAAAAACCAGCAGCGCACCAUCAUCUUUUCGCUCAUUUCUGGUCUUUGUUUCCUUUCUUUCCUGUUCUUUCUCCCGUGACAAAGGAAAGCAGUCGGGCUGGCGUGCCGAGAGGCUCUUCCCCGGGGCCUUUAUUAGCUCCUUUCUUUUCUGGGACGGAGAAUGUAUCGUUUUUGCGAUAAUAUAAUUUGACGCAGUGUUUGUUCUGUCUGCCAUGGAUUGCUCGACGCGUCCGUCCAAAAUAGUGCACGGCGUGAGAGCCUCUGAUUAACACACACACACACACACACACACACACACACACACACACACACACUGCUCAUCUGUCAUGUACUAGCGGUUAUCUAGGACUCAUCUCCCUAAUACAUACUACUUCCAUCAUAGUACUACUAUUACUACUACUAAUACUAAUACUAAUACUACAACCACUACUACUUCCACACUGCAGUGUUGCUGCAGUCUUUGUAAAAGCUUUUUGUUUCCUGCGCUUUUUGCGCUCAGCGUUUAAGCAGGAAGAUUAAAUCAACAUGUUGAACUCUUAGAAAGGAGACGGAGAAUGGUCAGUCAGCAGCCUAGAACAUCGCCCGCCCAGUGUUACAUGUCUGGGUGAGCGAAGGAAGCAAGAUAUUUUUGUCACGAUCCGUGACACAGACUACAGUUAUUCUUUUUGUACUUGUUUUCAGUUUUUCCUUCUUUCAUGUAGGUUCUCUAAACUUGACAAGCUUCCUCUUCUCAUUUCUCUCCUAAAUCUUGUUUUAAUAAUAUUUCGCUAGUUUCUGCUUCUACUGAGAACUACCUCCAUCACUACCAUUCUGCUACUACUACUACUACUACUAAUUCGUGUCGUCCUCUCCACACAAUCUCUCCUAGUUCCUUUCACCCACGUCCACGGUGUGCUAGGCAGGACACACACACACACACACACAAACACACAAACACACACACACACACACACACACACACACACACACACACACACACACACACACACACACACACACACACACACACACACACACACACACACACACACAGACCAGCGGCAGUAUUCACGUGUAACCACCACCACAACCCACUGUCAAAACCCUGGGAGUCGACCUUCCUUGCACCACCUUCCACCCUCCACCUUCCAGCUUCCCACCCACUCAAAAGACUCCGCCCUCUCUUCCCCCCCUCGCGCGGCAUCACGUAGCAAGACAGCGUGUUCCGUAGUCACACCACACCAUCUUCACAACCACCACCAGUAACACCAUCAUACACGCACACACACGCACGCACACCACACGUCACACACCACAUACGGCCAUCACGAACAGCAUUAGAAAAAUAAUAAUAAUGAUAAAAAAUAAGAGACACACACACUGGCUGCAGAAGGAACAGUAGUAGUAGUAGUAGUAGCAAUAGUAUAGAUUCGUGUUACAGUCCACAACUAACACUUUCCAUAAAAGGACGAAGGAAAACAACAACGAAAGAGACUUUAAUAUGAAAGGUCACGAUAUGCUGCUCUAAACACCAUCACUAGAGGAAGUAUAAGAAUAUAUAUAAGUACAAGUAAUAUAUUUAUUUAGGGAAUAAUAUAUAUUGAUAAUAAUGGGGAAAAAAAAAGGCUUUGAGUGAUUUUUAGGUUGAAAGAUUAAGGAAAAGAUAGAUGACAAUUAAAAAAACAAAGAAGUAAAAUUAAAAGGGGUUUUUUUUUAGGGGGGGUGAUUUGAGAGACAAAGAGGAAAGGAAAAAAAAAAUUAGAGUGAGAGAAAAAUAAAUAAAUGAUAAUAAUAUUAAUAAUAAUAACGAGGCAGCUAACACACACUCCACCAACAUCGAUAAAGAGAUAGAGAGAUAUAUCAAGGCAUUGAAAAAAAUCAGAUAAAUUUUCACUUACUGCAUGCUUGGGUAUUUAGUGUCGGUGUAUUGUGACGCAGCGGGGUGGUGAGAAAGACUUCCAUCAGUACCAAGCUACCACACACACACACACACACAUACACACACGUACCCUCGUUCAUCACUUUACAUCACACGCACUUCAUACACACACACACACACACACGUACACACACACGCACACGCAUAAUGGAUCAUCGUGCCUCUGGAAAUGCUAACAAAAAUAUCUUCCUCUGAAAAUUGGUUAGAAAAUGUAAACAAACACACAUAAUUUGUCUUUAGUGAUACAUUCUUAUGCCCUAAGACUAAUAUUAGAUGGUAAACUAUUACUGAUCUAGAAUGACUUACAGAUUAUAAAACAUACAUAGAUAUACUGGCUGGUAAUAUUUGCUUUUUGCUGUUGUUGUUGUUGUUGUUGUUGUUUUGCUUGUUUUGACUUUAUUUUGUUUCUGCUCCUCACGAGAUUGAAAUGUGUAAAAGAUUAUUAUUUUUUUGUUAUCUAUAAUACACUUAAGACUUAAAUAUGUAGGUCAUAUGUGUCUCUUCCUAGAUUAGUUUAAUGUGGUAUUUUCUUUUUUUUUUUAUAUACAUUUAGAAGAUGCCAUGCCUGAAAAGAGGAGGGAGGAAAAGUGAGCGCUGGUUUCAUAAGUUUCCUAAUUAUUCUGAAAUGCCUUUGUGAACAUGAAACUGCUGUCGCCUCCACCACCACCACCACCACCAUCGCCACUAUCACUAUCAUCACCACUAUCACAGUUACUACUACCACCACUGCUGCCACUGCCACUGACAUCACCAUCACCUCCCUAACUAACUAACCAAAGUUAGCCGUCUUUUUCUCCCUUGCCAACACCACCACCACCACCACACCAGCUUUAUUACAACAACCAUUAUAACCACCACUACCACCACCAUCACCAUCACCACCACCAUAAGCACUAUUACCGUAAGCACCAUCAUCAUCACCACCACAACUGCAACUUGAAUAUAUCUACCAUCACCACUAACACAACCACCACCACAGCCAAAACCACUACCACCACUGCAACCACCACUAUUACUACUACCACCACUGCAACCACCACUACUACUUCUACCACUACCAUUACUGCAUCAACCAUUCCAGUCACCAUUACUACUGCCGCCAGCAUUACCAUUAUCACGCAAACACCUCCACCACCACCACCACCACCGUCACAUCAACAGCCAGAACAUCAGUCAACAUAUUUACAAGUCGUGAUUCUCUGUGAGUACUUAAGAAACCAUUAACUUGUGGGAUUUGCCUCAGCGUCCAAUUCCAUUAGUGAAAGUUUUGCUGCAAGUGGGUGGGUGAGUGAGUGAGUGAGAGGUGGAAAGCGAGUGGAGGAUGAGCUGGAUGGGAUUGGAUGAUCGAGUGGGUGCAUGGGUGGAUUAGUGGAUGAAUAAUUGAUGGAGUGAUGGAGUGAUAUGUAGAGUGGCUGCAUGAAUUGAGUGGGUGUGUUUGUGAGGGAGUGAAAUAUUAUGUGUGAGUGAGUGAGUGGGUGUUGUGUGUGAAUGAGAAUGAUGUUGAGUGAAUAUGUGAGUGUGUGAGUAUAUAGGUUUGUCAGUUACUAGAGAGACUGAUUGAAUAAAUGAGUGAAUGAAUGAGUGGGCGAAUAAGCGAAUGUGUAGUUGAGUGAGUGAUUGAGAAGAUAAGUAAGUAAGUGAAUGACUGAGUGGAUAAGUGAGUGAUCGAGUGAGUGAGAGUGAGUGAAUAACCCUAUAGAUAGAAUUUAAAACGGCUUACUCUCAAUCACCAUUAAAUGAUUGAGGAUUAACGACGAAAAAUUAAUUAACAGACGUUGCUUUUUCAGGUUGUCUUAAUCACCACCACCACCACCACCACCACCACCACCAUCAUCACCAACUCCAUCUUCUUUAUCAGUAUUUUCUUUUCCUUCUUAAUUCAAUAGUUUUAAAAAGGAGUGUUCGUAGGAAACAGUCAGGAAUUCAUAUCGACUUUUGGGAUUCGAACAUAAGCUCGUUGAAAGCGAAACGAUGACGCUUUCCACUUAGCUAACAGUGUGUGUGUGUGUGUGUGUGUGUUUGCCUGCGUGCUAGCCUCAGCCUCCGCGGUAAAUGGCCCUCCUGCUUCACAAACACAGGACACUCGUGGCAUCUCCUGGAGUCGCCUUAAUUAACAGUCUCAUUACAGCCUGUCGUGGAGCCUCACUCAGACCCGCCCGAGGAUGAGGAGAGCAGCUGCCGGGAUGAGCUGUGCGGGAGGUGAAAAGCGUACCCUGCCACCUUCUGCUGGUCACGCGGCGAUAGGAAAUGUAGUGUGUGAUGUGUACCUCGUCACUAUCGCGAAAAGAAGACAAUCAAGAAGUGUUGUGAGGAAGGGAUGCCUCUAAUGCCUCCAACCUGCCGCCGCCUGGAGCCUCGGUGUUCUUGGCGCGACGCGGAGCGUGCACUGAUGGUGACUGAUGGGGCCUGUCAGACGGACACACGAGUCUGCGAGUCGCAGGCUGCGAGAAUUCUCUGAGGCGAACACUGCUACGUGCGAGGGCUGGUGAGACUGUGUGGCGCUGCACGGCGUCGAAGGCUGACUUACUGUUGUAGCACUGCUGGGGCGCGGAUAGGUCAGGCACUGCAGCGAUGAUUGGUGGAUGUUUUGGCGCCACAACAGCAAGACUUGUGGCGCUUCACAUCAAAAGAUUGAAAUGAAACGCUAAUGUAAAAUACAAUAAAAUGUGGCGCUACAUUUCCCCAUCAAGACUCGGAUACCGGAAUACUCGAGUCCACACAGACUGGCUUCACAUCACCGUGUUGCCGCCGCGCCGAGGAUAAAAGUCAGUCUGUCAGCGACACACUGCAUGACGUAAUUGUUGUCUGUACUCGAGAAACUUUUAUGAUUACACAUUUAUUU